rnacentral:rRNA from 1 species
GACGAACGCUGGCGGCGUGCCUAAUACAUGCAAGUAGAACGCAGUUGCGAACGGGUGAGUAACGCGUAGGUAACUGCCUCAUGGCGGGGAAAAACUAUUGGAAAAGAUAGCUAAUACCGACUACUGUGCGAUGGACCUUCGUUGUAGUAGCUAGUUGGUGAGGUAAAGGCGCACCAAGGCGACGCUACAUAGCCGAGCUGAGAGGGUGAUCGGCCAACCCGGGACUGUGACAACGCCCAGACCUCGUCGGGAGGGAGCAGUAGGGAAUCGUUGGCAAUGGACCGAAGGCUGACCGAGCCAAUCCGCGGGAGUGAAGAAGGGUUUCGGAGCUUAAAGCUCCGUUGUGAGAGAAGCGGUAACUAACCAGAAAGGGACGGCUAACUACGUGCCAGCAGCCGCGGUAAUUC